rnacentral:rRNA from 1 species
AGCGAACGCUGGCGGCAGGCCUAACACAUGCAAGUCGAACGAUCCUUCGGGAUAGUGGCGGACGGGUGAGUAACACGUGGGAACGUGCCCUUUGGUUCGGAACAACUCAGGGAAACUUGAGCUAAUACCGAAUGUGCCCUUCGGGGGAAAGAUUUAUCGCCAUUGGAGCGGCCCGCGUCUGAUUAGCUAGUCGGUGAGGU